AGAGUUUGAUCCUGGCUCAGGAUGAACGCUGGCGGCGUGCUUAACACAUGCAAGUCGAACGAAGCACUUUAGAUGAUCCCUUUGGGGUGAAUGUAUUGUGACUGAGUGGCGGACGGGUGAGUAACGCGUGGGUAACCUGCCUCAUACAGGGGGAUAACAGUUGGAAACGGCUGCUAAUACCGCAUAAGCGCACAGGACCGCAUGGUCCGGUGUGAAAAACUCCGGUGGUAUGAGAUGGACCCGCGUCUGAUUAGCUAGUUGGUGGAGUAACGGCCCACCAAGGCGACGAUCAGUAGCCGACCUGAGAGGGUGACCGGCCACAUUGGGACUGAGACACGGCCCAAACUCCUACGGGAGGCAGCAGUGGGGAAUAUUGCACAAUGGGCGAAAGCCUGAUGCAGCGACGCCGCGUGAACGAAGAAGUAUUUCGGUAUGUAAAGUUCUAUCAGCAGGGAAGAAGAAUGACGGUACCUGACUAAGAAGCACCGGCUAAAUACGUGCCAGCAGCCGCGGUAAUACGUAUGGUGCAAGCGUUAUCCGGAUUUACUGGGUGUAAAGGGAGCGCAGGCGGUACGGCAAGUCUGAUGUGAAAGCCCGGGGCUCAACCCCGGUACUGCAUUGGAAACUGUCGAACUAGAGUGUCGGAGGGGUAAGUGGAAUUCCUAGUGUAGCGGUGAAAUGCGUAGAUAUUAGGAGGAACACCAGUGGCGAAGGCGGCUUACUGGACGAUAACUGACGCUGAGGCUCGAAAGCGUGGGGAGCAACAGGAUUAGAUACCCUGGUAGUCCACGCUGUAUACGAUGAAUACUAGGUGUUGGGGAGCAUUGCUCUUCGGUGCCGUCGCAAACGCAGUAAGUAUUCCACCUGGGGAGUACGUUCGCAAGAAUGAAACUCAAAGGAAUUGACGGGGACCCGCACAAGCGGUGGAGCAUGUGGUUUAAUUCGAAGCAACGCGAAGAACCUUACCAAGUCUUGACAUCCUUCUGACCGGCACGUAACGGUGCCUUCUCUUCGGAGCAGGAGUGACAGGUGGUGCAUGGUUGUCGUCAGCUCGUGUCGUGAGAUGUUGGGUUAAGUCCCGCAACGAGCGCAACCCUUAUCUUUAGUAGCCAGCGGAGAAGCCGGGCACUCUAGAGAGACUGCCAGGGAUAACCUGGAGGAAGGCGGGGAUGACGUCAAAUCAUCAUGCCCCUUAUGACUUGGGCUACACACGUGCUACAAUGGCGUAAACAAAGGGAAGCAGAGCCGUGAGGCCGAGCAAAUCUCAAAAAUAACGUCUCAGUUCGGACUGUAGUCUGCAACCCGACUACACGAAGCUGGAAUCGCUAGUAAUCGCAGAUCAGAAUGCUGCGGUGAAUACGUUCCCGGGUCUUGU
rnacentral:rRNA from 1 species